CACGGGGGGAGCAAGCGUUGUUCGGAAUUACUGGGCGUAAAGCGCACGUAGGCGGCUUUGCAAGUCAGAGGUGAAAGCCUGGAGCUCAACUCCAGAAUUGCCUUUGAGACUGCAUCGCUUGAACACGGGAGAGGUGAGUGGAAUUCCGAGUGUAGAGGUGAAAUUCGUAGAUAUUCGGAAGAACACCAGUGGCGAAAGGCGGCUCACUGGACCGGUUGUUGACGCCUUGAGGUG
rnacentral:rRNA from 1 species